CGCUGAGGUCGCAGCGGGAGGAGGGCGCAGAGCACCUGCGGGCUUUUAAGAGCUGUCACUGACGGGCUGACCCAGUGCGGAGCUCAGUUUUCUACCACUGGACGUGUUGCUCGGUCACAGGCCUGGUGCCUGUCACGUGAGGCUGCAGCACACAGCCCGCUGCUUUGUGUCCUGCACGCCCAGACCUGGCUGAGCCGGAGAGUAUCCUUGACACUAACUCAUCAACAGCCACCUGCGGGGUAUCCACUCGGGGCAAGGACUAGACCUGAACUCUGCUGCGGUGGGAAGAGAAAAGCAGAGCGCCCCUGCUUGAGUACAGUCGGGCGGAGAGAACCUUUCCAAAUGCUGCCCCGAACGAGCCGCUUCCUCACGGCGGUGUGCUUCCUGCGGCUGUGGUCCAAGUCGAUGUGCGGGAGUACUACAGAGAGGCCGGGAAUGCCCAGGAGGGAAAAGGUUUCACAUCACCAAGUUAUGAAGAACUGGGCAAAUUAUCCACUGGAGCGACACCUUUCACUUGGCAGCUUCUCCCGCAGCUGCUUCAGGCAUAUGUUAAACCCAGAGCUGAGACACCGUGGGGGUGAGCAGUGGACAGGAACCCAAGGACAAGUGGGCCCUGGGGCCACAGCCUUUGCUCAGAUUACCAACGGUCCCCAGACCUAGACUACAAGGAGCUGUGCAACACCAAAGGGAAGUAAUCUCUGUCUCAACACCUCGCCAUCACUCAUGAAAUCAUAUCUAUUUCCUUUGGGACAUUUUUUUUUAAAUCAAAAGUGAAAAGAUCAAUGUUUUACCCAAAGAUAUGAACAAGCCUGUUAGAACCCUCCAUGUGGAAAUCUCCAUGGCCCGGUGAGAACCAGCCAGUGGAAUAGAGCAGCUGUGCCCUGAGGAGCUUCCUGAUUAGGAGAGAGCGACCCCUACCCCAGUCAGGGGUAAAGGGCCAGGAAAGGUCAUGAUUUGUUACUUGCAGGACUAGUCAGCUAGAAUUGUGACACUCCCGUGACUGAGGAGGAAAAGAUUAAAAGCUAGCUAAGGUAUCAUUUUUACCUAGUAUCUCUUCAUCCAUUUGUUCCUAUUAGUGUGUCUUGUGCUUUGCUUUGCUUUUUAAAACCUUUAAAAAAAUUAUAUGGGGGGUGGGGAGUGACUGCGGUGAUGCAGAUGUGGAGGUCAGAGGACAGCUUCCAGGAGCCAGCGUUCUUCUCUCACUGUAGAGGCCCCAGGGACUCAACUGAGGUUGUCAGGCUAGGUGGCCGACUCCUUUACCCACAGAGAUCCCCCUGCCUCUGCCUCCCGAACGCUGGAAUUAAAGGUGGGCCACCACCUAAUCACCAUGUCCUCGCUUACAGCUUUAGUGAUAAAUGUGAGUGCCCAGUCUGAGAAGCUGAAGCAGGAGAUCUAUAAAUCAGAGGCCAGCCUGGGCUAUACUGCCAGAUCUUGUCUCGUAUAAGCCAAAGUAAAAAAUAAAAAAUUCAAAGAAACUAAUGCA
rnacentral:lncRNA from 1 species